rnacentral:sRNA from 1 species
CUGCGUACGCGCACUUCCGGUCUUUGUGGCUUGCAGCUCGGGGUGGGUGGCUCAUUUCCUGGCCGCUCCUGGGCUUCGCGGAAAGAAGAGAUUACUCACACUCCUUCUCAAGCACAGAACCAGUUGUACUGAGCUUUUUGCUAAGCUGUUUCAGCCAAGAAUGGCUGUGGAAUCUGGAGUGAUUUCAACUCUGAUACCUCAGGAUCCUCCGGAACAAGAACUAAUACUAGUGAAAGUAGAAGAUAACUUGUCCUGGGAUGAGAAAUUUAAGCAGAAUGGGAGUACUCAAUCCUGCCAAGAAUUGUUUCGUCAGCAAUUCAGAAAGUUUUGCUACCAGGAGACACCUGGGCCCCGGGAGGCUCUGAGCCGACUCCAGGAACUUUGCUAUCAGUGGCUAAUGCCAGAGUUGCACACAAAGGAGCAGAUCUUAGAACUGCUGGUACUGGAGCAGUUCCUGAGCAUUCUGCCUGAGGAGCUGCAGAUCUGGGUUCAGCAACAUAAUCCAGAAAGCGGCGAGGAAGCUGUGACCCUGUUGGAGGAUUUAGAGAGGGAGUUUGAUGACCCAGGGCAGCAGGUAGGAACAGAGAAAAGUGAUGUGGGAAAAGGAAUUUACAGCCUGGAGCAUGUAAUGGUAUCAUAACAGUAGGAUAAAAAUUUUUAUGUCUCUACUGAACCCUAACCUGAAGGGAC